rnacentral:sRNA from 2 species
AUGUACGUAAAAGUACACUCCGGUUCCUGCGCGCCGCCCGCACCCACCUAGCGGCCGCUCGCUACGUUUUGUUAGCG